UACAGGGGGGGCAAGCGUUGUUCGGAAUUACUGGUCGUAAAGGGCCCGUAGGCGGCCAACUAAGUCACACGUGAAAUCCCCGGGCUUAACCCGGGAACUGCGUGUGAUACUGGAUGGCUUGAAUUCGGGAGAGGGAUGCAGAAUUCCAGGUGUAGCGGUGAAAUGCGUAGAUAUUGGGAAGAACACCGGUGGCGAAGGCGGCUCACUGGCUCAUUUCUGACGCUCAGGCGCGACAGCGUGGGGAGCAAACAGG
rnacentral:rRNA from 1 species